rnacentral:lncRNA from 1 species
AUAUGGAAAGGGAGUAAAAUUGUCAAAUUCAAGAAAUAUUUAGAAGGUAGAAUCACUCAGUAACAUAUUAAGAUUGAUUGGAUGUCAAAUCAGGGUGACUCCAUAUUUCUUUAAUAACUCAGUCCACUUACUAACAUAGGGAACCUAGGAAGAAUAGCAGGUGGUGGUAGAAGUAAGAAGUGGGGCUUGUGUGUGAACAAAGAGUUACUGAUCAGUUUGGAUGAAGUGUUGUUAAAAAAAAAAAAAAAAAUUCAGAGUUCCUGUCAUGGCUCAAUGGUUAAUGAACCCAACUAGUAUCCAUGAGGACCUGAGUUCGAUCCCUGGCCUUGCUUAAUGGGUUAAGGAUCCAGCUUUGCUGUGAGCUGCGGUGUAGGUCACAGAUGCAACUCAGAUCCACCAUUGCUGUGGCUGUGGUUUAGGCCGGCAGUGGUAUCUCCAAUUUGACCCCUAGCCUGGGAACCUCCAUAUGCCAUGGCUACUGCCCUAAAAAGACAAAAGACCUCCCCCCCCCAAAAAAAAAAAAUUCAACCGAGUACAUUUUAAAGAUCCUUUUGGUUUUACUCAAUGAUUCAAGAAUUGGGUAAUACCCUAUCUAGCUGGUAAAACUCUCUGAGGAACUGUGCAAACUUGAAAACCUACAGGCAGAAAGGAAUGGGAAUAAGCAAGUUUUACGAGCAAAAAGUGGAUUGUCUGGGGCAGGUCAUUUUCCUUUAGGGGAUGGCAGGAGUCUCUCAGGAAGAUGACCACACUAGUGCUGACCAGGUGAUUCCUGACUGACUGGAUUAAGAUCCCAUUUCUGGGAGAGACCAAAACUGUAAUUAAGUCUCAGUUUGGUGACAUAAGGUUUCAUAUAAGUACCUCCAUUUUGAACCUUUUUUUAAAAAAAACAGUUAUUUAAAGACUGUCAUGAAGGCAGCAGGUAAGGGCAUUGAAAGAAGAGAACCCCAAGACAAAUAUCAUUCACUUAACAAUUCUGUAUGGGAUCAAUCUUGACUAAAUGAGUUUAGCAAAUUUUGGUCAUGUAUAAGAAUUCAAGAGUAAAGGAAAAUUAGUAUCUUUUAACAGAGUGAAGACAAUACAGGUCAGAAACAAAACUGUUCAAUGAAGGACUUAAUAGCAAAGUGAUAGAUUUAAUUUUGAUUGUAGGUAUUCACAUUUUUAAUCUUCCAAUUGGUCUUUCCUACCUUUAAGAUUAAUUUUGAUCUCUUAAAGGCAAGUGCAAAAAGAAAAUUUGAUCAUGGUGUUUUAUGGUUUGGGAGGGUUUAUUUAUUCAUCUUUUGGCUGAGAAGAAGCUUGUGUUAAGUACUCAAAUCUACCAAACUUUACAAUCUAAGAAAAUAAUGAUAAUGAGGGAAAGUAAGAGGUCUUCUCAUUUUAACAGAAAGAUGUCAAAAUUCUCUGAAGGCAAUUUUCAGACUGAAAUGAUUGCCACAUUUUUGUUGAUCAGAGGUAAUUCUGCAUUGAAGGUUCUGCCUGAUACUUAGCUCUUGGAUAAUGGUAAAAGAUAUUACACAUCCUCCCACCUGGUAUUACAGCCUGCAUAGCAAUAAUGAAGACAGAUUAGCGCUAUUUACCUCCUGACACUGACAAGAGUAGCUUGUCUUUUUUCCUCUAUUUUAUCAUUAAAGUCUUGUUUUUCAGCAUUACAUUGCCCGAAGACAGCAUGCUGCAAUCUUGAAUACCAAAGGAAAGGUGUUUAAAUAGCAUUAAUGGCUUGGAUCACCUCCUGGCUAAAACCAAAGAUAUUCAGACUUAAUGCUUUCUUCCAUCCUUAAUUUAUACUUUUAUGGAAUCAUAAUGAACUUGAAGAAAAAGAUCAUUUUUUUUUUUUAUUUUCAGUGAUAGGAACAGAAAUGGGAAAAGGGGUCAGACACUUAUAUUAUAAAUAUAUAUGAUAUUUUGGUUUAUUAGAUGAUAUUUGAUAAGAAAUUUACCAACAUUCUAACAUUUGCCCUAACAUAUACUCUUCACAGAUGCCAGAUGGGAAGGAGAUCAAGGUGAUGGACAAGUUCAAUUUUUUGACAGACUACAUUGAGAGGAAUAUUGGAAAGAUUCAGUCUGAAUAUUAUUAAACAUUUUUCUUUUGGAUUCUGCCAGUUUUUCUUGAUUCAUCUCUGGUUACUCUCUGGUUUUCUUGGCUACCAAGAAAAUUGAUGGCCUUUCUUUUUUAUUACUGUUUUCUCCCCACACGAGAGUAUACAUUUAUUUCAACCAUAAGUCUUUGGUCUAGAUCUUUGAUAAAGUUUAAGUGGAUUAUAUCAUCUUGCCUUAUUCCUGUCGGCUGCCACUGCCAUUUCCCUAGAACAGCUUAUCAGAUUUGUUCAGCCUCACCUCCACCUCAAAAACCCAGCCUGAUUGCAGAAUUCUAUACCUGGUCAAGGAUGUGAUUCUUCUUUUGGCAAAGACAGAGUAAGCAUUCAUGCAUGGGGUCAGGUUGAUAGCAGCAGCAAUGUUAGACCUCUCAGCUGUAGUUUGGGUAUGUCUUAGCUGAAACUAUUUUCAGAUACCAUAGCCUGCAGUGGGGAAUUGUGUUGACCUGACUUAAGUUCUGACAGCCCAGUGCUCCACUUUGACGCUAGGACCCAAUGCUUUUUCUCUCCUCAUUAAUGAUCACAGUACCCUCACUGCCCCUUGCUGUCAGACUAAAGUUGAAUUCUUAUGAGCUGCAUAUUUUUACUUUCAUUCUCCUGUUGAAAAUCUGGAGACAGAGACUAUAGUUGCUCAUGAAUAGAAAUCUUAGCAUUUCAGAAUCAGAAAUGACUUAAUAACGUUUGAGUGAGGUUCUACAUCCUACCACAAGGGUGAAUAUGCUACAUUCACACAAAUCAAGGAUGAGAAUGGGGAGGAGUGGGUGGUGUCAGAAUGGUUUCUUAACUGGAGCUAGUGCUGGAAGGAUUGUUAGUUUGUCUGGAGAUUAUAUCAUUUCAUAAGGUGAUACAGUUCCUUCCUCUAUAGUGACCAUGAAAGGAUAGGGCAGUGUUUAAAACUUCAAGCUCUCAAGACAAACUCUUUGAUUUUGAGUCCAGUAUUUUAUUUCCUUGCUUAUGAUGCACUAAUUGUUAACUAAAGUCCUAAUUUCAUCCUCUAUAAAAUUUGAGAAAAUAUUAUUCACUUAACAGAGUUACUUUGAGAAUAAAAUGACCUUUACCUAUAAAGCCCUUAGCACCUUGCAUAACACAUGAUUGCUUAUGUGUGAAAAAUUUUAGUUGUUCAAUUAUUUGGGGGUCACCAACAUUUUUCUUUUAAACAAAAAACUAUUGUAGGGAUAAUAUAAUCAAACACACAAAAGAUCAGUUUACUCACAAAGCCACACACCAUAUAUAGACUUUGUGGAAUGCUAUUGGAUAGAACAAUUAAAAUUUACUAUUGGACUUGAGUUUCAAUCACAUGUAUAGGACAAAAAGAAAAAAGCACUCUGAGUUAUUUUCCUACCUGUAGUAUAACCCAUAACCCAGCCUUGCACACUCACAUUGUCCAACACACAAUAUACACAUAUCUUAGUGAAAAAAAGACAAGAAAAAGUUACAAAAGCUACUUUUUUUUUUUUUUUUUUUUUUAAGAAAAGAAUGGGAACAGAUGAACUACAUUUUUAGGAGGGGUACAGAAGUGAGGGUAUGGGACUGGUCAGACUCUCAUUAUUUGAAAGGUCAGAGUGGAGAAAAGACAGUGACUUAUGGUAUGAGAAGGUAAGCAUGAGAUCUAUUGUAGCUAAAAAUUUGCUUUUUUGUAAAGUAGACAACGAGAAGUUUCUAGAACUUGAAUAUUCUAGAAUCAGAAAUACUUAGGAGUUCCUGUCGUGGUACAGCAGAAACGAACCCGACUAGGAACCAUGUGGUUUUGGGUUCCAUCCCUGGCCUCGCUCAAUGGGUUAAGGAUUUGGCGUUGCCAUGAGCUGUGGUAUAGGCUGGCAGCUAUAGCUCUGAUUCAGCCCCUAGCCCGGGAACCUCCAUAUGCCGCGGGUGUGGCCCUAAAA